rnacentral:rRNA from 1 species
GGACUACCCGGGUAUCUAAUCCUGUUUGCUCCCCACGCUUUCGCGUCUCAGCGUCAGCAACGAUCCAGAGGGCCGCCUUCGCCACCGGUGUUCCUCCUGAUAUCUACGCAUUUCACCGCUACACCAGGAAUUCCACCCUCCUCUAUCGCGCUCUAGCUGGCUAGUUUCCGAUGCACUUCCGGAGCUGAGCCCCGGGCUUUCACACCGGACUUGACCAACCGCCUACACGCCCUUUACGCCCAGUUAAUCCGAACAACGCUUGCACCCUCCGUCUUACCGCGGCGGCUGGCAC